rnacentral:piRNA from 1 species
UGGGUAGCAAUGGGCCAGUGGGUCCUCAGG